rnacentral:rRNA from 1 species
AGCAGCCGCGGUAAUUCCAGCUCCAAUAGCGUAUAUUAAAGUUGCUGCAGUUAAAAAGCUCGUAGUUGAAUUUCGGGACCAAUAUGUCGGUCGUGCCUCGGUACGUACUGGCAUUGUUGGUUUCUCCCUUCUGACGAACCAUGAUGUCAUUUAUUUGGUGUCGUGGGGAAUCAGGACUGUUACUUUGAAAAAAUUAGAGUGUUUAAAGCAGGCUCACGCUUGAAUACAUUAGCAUGGAAUAAUGAAAUAGGACGUUUGAUUCUAUUUUGUUGGUUUCUAGGAUCGACGUAAUGAUUAAUAGGGAUAGUUGGGGGCAUUAGUAUUCAAUUGUCAGAGGUGAAAUUCUUGGAUUUAUUGAAGACUAACUACUGCGAAAGCAUUUGCCAAGGAUGUUUUCAUUAAUCAAGAACGAAAGUUAGGGGAUCGAAGACGAUCAGAUACCGUCGUAGU